AAUGAACGCUGGCGGCAUGCCUAACACAUGCAAGUCGAACGAAGCCUUCGGGCUUAGUGGCGCACGGGUGCGUAACGCGUGGGAAUCUGCCCUUGGGUUCGGAAUAACAGUUAGAAAUGACUGCUAAUACCGAAUGAUGUCGUAAGACCAAAGAUUUAUCGCCCAGGGAUGAGCCCGCGUAGGAUUAGCUAGUUGGUGUGGUAAAAGCGCACCAAGGCGACGAUCCUAGCUGGUCUGAGAGGAUGAUCAGCCACACUGGGACUGAGACACGGCCCAGACUCCUACGGGAGGCAGCAGUGGGGGAAUAUUGGACAAUGGGGGCGAACCCUCGAUCCAGCCAUGCCGCGUGCGGGAAGAAGGCCUCGGUUG
rnacentral:rRNA from 1 species